rnacentral:rRNA from 1 species
AUUGAACGCUGGCGGCAUGCCUUACACAUGCAAGUCGAACGGUAACAGGUCUUCGGAUGCUGACGAGUGGCGAACGGGUGAGUAAUACAUCGAAACGUGCCCGAUCGUGGGGGAUAACGAAGCGAAAGCUUUGCUAAUACCGCAUAAGAUCUACGGAUGAAAGCAGGGGACCGCAAGGCCUUGCGCGAACGGAGCGGCCGAUGGCAGAUUAGGUAGUUGGUGGGAUAAAAGCUUACCAAGCCGACGAUCUGUAGCUGGUCUGAGAGGACGACCAGCCACACUGGGACUGAGACACGGCCCAGACUCCUACGGGAGGCAGCAGUGGGGAAUUUUGGACAAUGGGCGAAAGCCUGAUCCAGCCAUGCCGCGUGCAGGAUGAAGGCCUUCGGGUUGUAAACUGCUUUUGUACGGAACGAAAAGACUCUGGUUAAUACCUGGGGUCCAUGACGGUACCGUAAGAAUAAGCACCGGCUAACUACGUGCCAGCAGCCGCAGUAAUAC